GACGAACGCUGGCGGCGUGCCUAAUACAUGCAAGUAGAACGCUGAAGAGAGGAGCUUGCUCUUCUUGGAUGAGUUGCGAACGGGUGAGUAACGCGUAGGUAACCUGCCUUGUAGCGGGGGAUAACUAUUGGAAACGAUAGCUAAUACCGCAUAACAAUGGAUGACACAUGUCAUUUAUUUGAAAGGGGCAAUUGCUCCACUACAAGAUGGACCUGCGUUGUAUUAGCUAGUAGGUGAGGUAACGGCUCACCUAGGCGACGAUACAUAGCCGACCUGAGAGGGUGAUCGGCCACACUGGGACUGAGACACGGCCCAGACUCCUACGGGAGGCAGCAGUAGGGAAUCUUCGGCAAUGGGGGCAACCCUGACCGAGCAACGCCGCGUGAGUGAAGAAGGUUUUCGGAUCGUAAAGCUCUGUUGUAAGUCAAGAACGAGUGUGAGAGUGGAAAAUUCACACUGUGACGGUAGCUUACCAGAAAGGGACGGCUAACUACGUGCCAGCAGCCGCGGUAAUACGUAGGUCCCGAGCGUUGUCCGGAUUUAUUGGGCGUAAAGCGAGCGCAGGCGGUUUGAUAAGUCUGAAGUUAAAGGCUGUGGCUCAACCAUAGUUCGCUUUGGAAACUGUCAAACUUGAGUGCAGAAGGGGAGAGUGGAAUUCCAUGUGUAGCGGUGAAAUGCGUAGAUAUAUGGAGGAACACCGGUGGCGAAAGCGGCUCUCUGGUCUGUAACUGACGCUGAGGCUCGAAAGCGUGGGGAGCGAACAGGAUUAGAUACCCUGGUAGUCCACGCCGUAAACGAUGAGUGCUAGGUGUUGGAUCCUUUCCGGGAUUCAGUGCCGCAGCUAACGCAUUAAGCACUCCGCCUGGGGAGUACGACCGCAAGGUUGAAACUCAAAGGAAUUGACGGGGGCCCGCACAAGCGGUGGAGCAUGUGGUUUAAUUCGAAGCAACGCGAAGAACCUUACCAGGUCUUGACAUCCCGAUGCUAUUUCUAGAGAUAGAAAGUUACUUCGGUACAUCGGUGACAGGUGGUGCAUGGUUGUCGUCAGCUCGUGUUGUGAGAUGUUGGGUUAAGUCCCGCAACGAGCGCAACCCCUAUUGUUAGUUGCCAUCAUUCAGUUGGGCACUCUAGCGAGACUGCCGGUAAUAAACCGGAGGAAGGUGGGGAUGACGUCAAAUCAUCAUGCCCCUUAUGACCUGGGCUACACACGUGCUACAAUGGUUGGUACAACGAGUUGCGAGUCGGUGACGGCAAGCUAAUCUCUUAAAGCCAAUCUCAGUUCGGAUUGUAGGCUGCAACUCGCCUACAUGAAGUCGGAAUCGCUAGUAAUCGCGGAUCAGCACGCCGCGGUGAAUACGUUCCCGGGCCU
rnacentral:rRNA from 1 species